rfam:Candidatus Brennerbacteria bacterium RIFOXYD1_FTLL_41_16 rifoxyd1_full_scaffold_40, whole genome shotgun sequence.
GGGCAGGUGGCGGAACUGGCAGACGCGCGGGACUCAAAAUCCCGUUCCCGCAAUGGAGUGGGGGUUCAACUCCCCCCCUGCCCA